GCCGGGCGGGCAGGCCCGCCCCGCGGCGGGAAGCCCCGCGCCUGGCCGCGGUCGCGGCGGCUCUGCCCGCAGGCCACGGAGGCGGGGGGCGGCGGCGGAGCUGUCCCGGAGUCUGCCCCGGCUUGAUUAGCUAUCUCAGGUAUGCUGCGUCCUAAGGUCUCGUGUGCUUUCUUCUGGACUUUGCGAUCUGCACCAUCUCACAGAGUUGGAAAUAAGACCUCAGUUUGACACUGGGGUCUGAGUGGAAGCAACUGAGAUACCUGAACGUAAAUUUGGUAUGUUAACAGUAGCCUGAGCUAGGGAACAAUUUCAGGAUGCUGAGGCUUGUCUUCUGUGGUUUAUAUGCCUUCAGGGGAAGAUGGAGAAAGCAUCUGUUCUUUGAAAAUGGUGGGUUACAAAGGAUGGGAUGGGGAUACUCUUUUCUCACAGAUUUAUCUUGCAUCUGAUAAUGUGAUGGAAUAUGAACAUCUUCUCUGGGAGAGGGAGAUUCCCUCUUAUGGACUUAUUUGAAGCUCUUGUAUUUGUAGGAGACUGCAGUGAGCACUCCACCUUAUUCCUUUUUAAUGCAAGAAAUAAAUCCUUAAGUCAUGGUUACAUGGUUGGCUACAGUAUCUUAGCUGUGGAGAGUUAACUGGUAAUCAGUCAGCAGUAACUUUGAGCAACUCAUGCUUGGAUCACAAAUACUUGCUUGACUACUCAUUAAAAACAAAUCAUGCAGAAAUAGCCAAAACACAGGGUGGACAUGUAUUUAUGUAGAGAGAGUCAUAAAAAUCUGUCAGUUAGACGGUAUGUGGGAAUAGCAUAGGAAGAGUGAGGUACUUGCUUCUGGGAAAGAAAGAGGAAGCUAUGAAUAAAAUGUAAAUACAAAUGUAUUCUUGACAAGUGACCUACUCCGGGUCAGGAAUAGGUUGCUAUGGUAUGGGAGAAAACGGUGUAGGAAGGCUCUGUAAACUUUACUGCCUUAUGUGUUGUGCCUCCUAUUCUUUCCUACAUGGCUUUUUCUAUGUAUUUUCCAUCUAUGCACUCCUGGGUAGCUUCUUGGCAUGCUCCUUGUCUGUCUUUUUCCCUAAACUAACGAAAUGGCUGUAGGCCUCAGAAUGUGAUAAAAUCACAAAAAAUGGGAUAUUUUUUUUCUAAAUCUUCAAAAGAACUAUCCUGUGCUUUAACCAAAUUUCAGAAAGGCUUUAAGUUCCUUUUGGCAAGGGUGGCUUUCUAAGAAUAGGACUCUUAAAAUUUUCUCUAAAAUUUUGUCAUACAAAGAACAGUUACAUUUUCUGUGGUGCCAUUUUACCUGUAGCAUUUAUGGAUCUCUUAUAACACUUUUCAUGGCCUAAGAGCUUUGUUGAGGUUUGUCAUAAUGUACAUUUUUCUCUGUAUGAGUUUUGUCCAGAAACUUCUGUUGUCUUAGACAUCGAUUUAACAGUGGGAUAUUCUUUUGGUUUCUCUUCAGUUCUAGUGCCUUCCAUUUACUCCAGGGAUUAAAGAAUUUCAGUCAUUUUCCUGUGGAGUAUUUCUGGAACACUUGUGAAGGGAGCUGAAAAAAGCAAAGUAUUCAGAGUGGUGGGCGAUAUCAGGUAAAGCAGAGCUCACCAUAGUUUACUAGUUGUGUCAGGUGAGAAAACCAUUGUUGCUUAAUUUAAAUGUGAAGAAUACAACCUUUCUGCUUCCACAAUGGCAACUUUGUAUGGCCAUGCAGAUAAAGGGGGGGUUCAUUUUUGUAACAAGCAUCCUACGGCUCAGGUUCAUAAUGUAUUCCAAUACACAAUUCUUCAUCUUAUCUGUUUUUAUUUUUUAUCAUUAUUUUCCACUUUAGGAAGCAAUAGGAUGAGAGCUGUACUUGAACACAGAUGGUAUCAUGGCACAGCAUUUGCUGCAACUUGCUUGAAGUUAUGUUACAGAGUUCAUUUUUAACAUAAGCUUUAAACCUUUAUUUUGUAGAAAAGUCUCUUUGAAAUGGCAUCAGCCCAAAUAUAGACUAUAAGUUUUGAGUGCUACUUGAAUAUUUUGUGGUAGCAUGAUGAAAAAUGAAUUGAUAUGGGAAAAAUAAUAAUUCUUAAAAGUACAUAAAGAAUCCACACUGGAGCAUAUGUUAGAGGAAGCAUAGGUAUGUAUUACUUUUUGAUGUCUCUGGAAAUACAGGUGAAAACCCUGUGAAGUAGACUGUUGAUAAUACUAUAGGCAGUAUUAAUAGUUUUGUGGAAGAAAAACAUCCGUCUUUCCGUUCACUUCUUUCCAUUAUUUCUGUUUUUGGAGUGAAUGGAAUGUCUCCUGCAACAACCUUAAUUGCCACUAACCAGAGUUUUUGUUUGCUAACAGCCCCAUAUGUCAAUAGAAUCUGCACUCAUUCUCCUUUAAGUAGGCUAUUUUUGCCAAACACCAUUUCCACUUCUCUGGAUUUCAUGAACGCUGCCAUUUGAAACCGAUCCAAGGAAUGAGACAUUACUCACCUUUGCAUAUGCUGUCUCUUGAACAGAUACUCGCCUGCUGUCUUCUAUUCUUAUAUUUCCUGCACUUUUCCCCCAGUGAGGAAUGUUGUGUUUUGUCUUGCUUAUUGCAGUUUAGACCAGGGAAUUUAGUCUCUUGAAAAGAUAUGCUUUAAGCAGUUUCCCUUUUCUUCAAAUGCGUUUUCUCUGCUGCUUUCCACACAGCUUUUUGUUCGAUGACUUGCACUUUCACUAUCUCAGACUGUCAGGCAUACUUGUCAACAUCUAGAAGCAAAAACUCAAUUGCAGAGCUAGACACAUUUCCAUACAAAAGUAUAUAUAUGUAUAUUUAAGUACGUUGCUUCUCACUGUAUUUUCUUUUUUCUGUGAAAGGAAGACGUGGAAGGAAAUAAAAGAAAAUGACCUCAGAUAGCUUUCAUUCCCCCUCCUAAUGCAGCAUUUAGUUCUUUCUUCUCUCUCAUCUUUUCUCCCGUAGGUAUUUAGUUAUUCCUCCCUCUGCCUAAUCAUAUCCAAUUAAAAGGGGGUGGGUGGCAAGGAAGGUUUAUCCACUCACAAAAGGAGCACAACAGGUUUUUCUUGGGAGGGGGUUACCCUGACACAGGCCAGGGAAGGCAGUCCAGGAAGUCAGUAGGAAUAGCUGUCUUAAAAGACGGUAAAUCCUGUCAGGAACUGGAAAGCACAGUGUUGUUUUCUUUCUGGGCUGCUUUUAGAAAACAGAGAUGUUCUGACUGACUGUUUAUUCCUGGGAAGGGGAAAAUGAGGAAAGGCAGUCCAUCAAAGGGCAUUUCUCUGGAGACGGGGAGAUGAUUCUGCAAAUCUAUAGCCUAUGGGGAAAAAAAGAACAACUAGCAGCUCUGCUGUCCUGUGUCCUGCUGUCAGGAGCUACUUUUCUGAAAGCUGCUUUCUCAAAAUCCUAACUGUUGUUAAUUUGUUAUAUACUUUUCCAUGCUGAUACUCAGGUUACAUGAUUAUUUUGUAUAUAGGACAGUCUUUUUGAGCUUCCAAAGGGCUCAGGUCCUAAUUGACAAAAGCAAGACCUUUGGAGUGUUACUGCCUUCCAUCAAAAUUUUUAGGAAGAUCUCCUAGUGAGUUUCAUUUCUUUCUUUGGCCACAGCCUCUGAUUGUAAGUCCAACUUUAAGGUUCACUCAUAGAAUGAGUGGAUGAGAAGGUAUAUAUUUCAUUCCUCUCUUUUGUUAAGUCUAAUUGUGCUUUUGAGUCACCUGUCACACUUUCUUUUCAGGACAAACUGAGAUAUUUUAGUGCAGGAAGGAUAAAUUUUAGAGUUUUCUUUCUUUGUUUUUUUCUUUUGCAGUGGUCAAAAAUGAGAUGGGUUCUGACUGUGUGUCAGGUGCCAGCAGUAAAAAUAUAUAAAUAUAAAUAUUAUUAGUAUAUAAAAUAUAAAAAAAUAUAAAUUGUGGAUAUGGCUGCUAUUCCAUCACUGCAUGGAAAGUAGUUUGAACUAUUGGAUCUCACAUGCUCUGCUUCAUCGAAGAUCUUCUCCUUAGAGCCUGCUCUCAGCUCCUCUCCUGUCUGUCUAUAGUCUAGUUUUAUAAAAAAUGACACAACUGAAGUAUCAAAGUACCAGCAAGUCCUGCCUAAGUAAUCCUGUACCUCGGAUUAAAAUCUUCAAAUGAUUUUGGGUAUGGGCUGGUUUAAAUAUAUAUAUUAGAGGGAGGGAGGGAGUGCAUAACUGCAAGUGUCCCCAGGAAUGAUUCCUCAGAUUCUGCUAUCUGUCAGUAAAAUGCAAAGGUCAUUUUCAUGAAAAUAAUUUAAAAUGUUUGCAAACAUUUAGUCACCAAAGGGACAGGUAUCCAAGAAGAAUGUCAGAAUACUCACCAAAUAAACAACACAGAACUGAUAAAUUGUAAGGUAGCAUGCUCUUUGAGUCUAAAAAGAAGUGAUUUAAAAUGUCAACUUCUUUCACAGAACUUGUCAUCAAAUGAUCAAAAUAAAUUAGCAUGGCUUUUUGCUCCCUACUAACAUUUCUGAAAAGAAAGCUAAAUUGUGUUCUUCCUUGUUUAGAAGAAGUUCCAUAAAGGUAUGAAAAACAGUAAGUUUGCACAAGUGUCACUGAAAGCUUAAUAUAAUCUAAAGGAAUGUUGUUGCUGAUACUUGUGUAUGAAAUGGGAUAGAACAUCAGAACCUGGCUGUAUUUGAAGGGUUGCAAUGAAUUUCAGUAGCCAAUUUAACUAGGAGGGGGGUUUAAGAGGCCGAGAUGAUGAAACUAUUAUGUGUAAAAUGUAAUUCCAUAUAUGGAUCUCAUUUGGUUCCUCUCAUUAUAGUGUUUGAGUGUGUCAGUGACAUUCGAGUACCUAUAUAUUAAGUGUAAAAGUGUGCAAAUUCUCGAAGAGCCAAGAGCUGAUUUUGAAAACAGGCAGGUUAGUAUUGCUUUGGGUGUAUUUAGUUUCCCAUAGAAAAAUCGGUUUACUUCUGUGUUGUACCUGAGCCGAUUUUACAAUAUUAAAUGCAGACUCAAAAUCUACGUGGAAGAACAAAGUUCAAUACUCUUGAAUAAGGUUGAUUAAUCAGACUAUUUUGAGAUUCAGCUAAGGAACAUUUCAGGAAUGCUGCUGCACUCAUCAGAACCAUGAAAACAUCAGAAUGAAAUAUCCCCAGCCAUCAGCAGCAAAAAGGAGCUUUAACAUAAGUGUUUGAAAACACUUGGCUAGACAGAGGCCUGCAAGCGGCAUAUACAUGUUUAUAUAUUAAGAUUUUAUUAUAUUCUUUUAUUAUAUAUAUUCCUUUAUUAUAUAUUUUAAACCCGUUGCCCAGAGCUGAGGUAUUUGUAUGUCUUCCAAAGAUAUAUUGAAAAAGCAUAUCACAUAUGUUUUCUUCUCCAUUUCUCUCUACAGAAAACAAGAUGGGUGGUGCUGAAAUGGGCAUGCUUUGUCCUGGGAUGUGUGAAGGUGUGAUGGCUACCCCCUCACCUGAGAGCACUGACCAGACAUGGGACCUCCAGGGCUGAAAGUCUGAGUUUAAUUAAGUGAAUUUAAUACAGCAUUCAUAAAUUAACUGUGCAUUGGCCUUAUCCUGGUCCACUACACAGGACUGAAUUACACCCUGAAUUACUAAAUCCUGAAUAAUUCUUUUGGCUGAUAAAUGAAAACAGUUCUUUUCUUUUUGCAAACAAUAGACAUUGGGAUUUGGCAACUUGGAACUCUCUUUAGCUUGUAUUCAUUUCCUUUAUGUGUUACUGUUCUUGAGUGAGCAAGAUAAUACUUAAAAAGUGUUACCAGAAGAGACAGGAUGUCUUGAAGCAAACUGGGGACUAACAUCAUUCUAUUAUAUCUACUUUGAUUUAUUUUUGGACUUAUUUUUUAUUUAUUUGAAUGUACUAGCUAAUGUUAUUUUAAUGUUGAUUGUCAGGAAAAAGGCUCCAUAAAGUCUUGUUUGAAAUCUUUUCUGCCACUUAAUUUCAUACCUUCUCGUCUUGUAUGCAUUUAUCCUGAAUUAGUUUGUCUGCUAUUUUUUAAACAAUAAAUUAUUUAUUUUAUUUA